rnacentral:rRNA from 1 species
GACGUAGGGGGCGAGCGUUGUCCGGAUUUAUUGGGCGUAAAGAGCUCGUAGGCGGCUCAGCAAGUCGGGUGUGAAACCUCCAGGCUCAACCUGGAGACGCCACCUGAUACUGCUGUGGCUAGAGUCCGGUAGGGGAACACGGAAUACCCGGUGUAGCGGUGAAAUGCUUAGAUAUCGGGUGGAACACCAGUGGCGAAGGCGGUGUUCUGGGCCGGAACUGACGCUGAGACGCGAAAGCGUGGGGAGCAAACAGG